UCAGUUGCGUUAAAAAUGUAGUUGUGUUAUGCUUCUAACGAAGUCCAACGCGAUUUUUAAAAUAUAAGAGCCAUAAGGUUGGUAACUUUUCAGUGACGCUGAGUAUAUUUGACAAAAAUGAAGCCCAAACUGUACAAACUUCAGCUCCUUCUGCAUCCAGUGUUGUAAUCAGCAUCACGCUGUGACAUAAAAUAUAUGUUCCACAGGGCCUCAAAUAGGGUACCCAAAAAGAAGUUAUUUUCCCCAUGAGAUCAUGCUGCAGUGAGAAACCAAGAAAUUCCUAUUGUUGUGUGCAUACUUAAGUGUCAUGGAAAAAGGAUAUGGAAAAUACAGGGAUGAGGAUGUGGUACAUUGAAGUUGCAGGAAAGCAAGCUGGAAGCUAUAUACCCAGAAUUCGAAGAGAAUAGGGGCUGUACAUCUGUGAAGGGUAUUGUUAUGAGAUGUAGGGAGUUGCUCAACAGAUUGAAUUGUUAAUGAUGUUAAUUGAAAUGUAUGCAGUCCAACUGUAAUGGUAAUGAGAUGCGGGCCUUUGUCCUACAUGAUGAGUAAAACAGUGUAUGGCAGUUUUGGAAAACAUGUAAUAAGUA
rnacentral:lncRNA from 1 species